rnacentral:rRNA from 1 species
UCCGUAGGUGAACCUGCGGAAGGAUCAUUACCACACUUUAAAAAACUGUCCACGUGAACUGUAAGCAAGUCUAGCGCUGUGACUGAGCUGGUGUUUUCAUUUUUGGACACUGGAACGGGAGUCAGCAGGACGAAGGUUGGUCUGUUGUAAUGCAAGUUAUGAUGGACUAGCUGAUGAACUUUUGUUUUUAAACCCUUACCUAAAUACUGAUUUAUACUGUGGGGACGAAAGUCCUUGCUUUUACUAGAUAACAACUUUCAGCAGUGGAUGUCUAGGCUCGCACAUCGAUGAAGAACGCUGCGAACUGCGAUACGUAAUGCGAAUUGCAGAAUUCAGUGAGUCAUCGAAAUUUUGAACGCAUAUUGCACUUUCGGGUUAUGCCUGGAAGUAUGUCUGUAUCAGUGUCCGUAAAUCAAACUUGCCUUUCUUUUUCCGUGUAGUCAGGGAUGGAAUGUGCAGAUGUGAAGUGUCUCGCAUGGUUGCGUUCGUUUUUUCGAUCGAGAAUCUGUCGAGUCCUUUUAAAUGGACACGGUCUUUUCUAUGGUUUCUAUGAAGUGUAAUGGUUGGAAGGCAGUGAUUUUCGGAUUGCUGGCGGCUUUUGGCGACUUCGGUAUGAACGUAUGGAGACUAGCUCAAUUCGUGGUAUGUUAGGCUUCGGCUCGACAAUGUUGCGUAAUUGUGUGUGGUCUUUGUUUGUGCCUUGAGGUGUACUAGAGGUUGUCGGUUUGAACCGUAAGUGAUUGUUUAGUAGAGCAUUUUCACGAUGUAUGGAGACGCUGCAUUUAGUUGCGUAGAGAGAUUGAUUUGGGAAAUUUUGUAUCAUUGUCAAUUGCAAGAUUGUGUAUGGUAUCUCAAUUGGACCUGGUAUCAGACAAGACUACCCGCUGAACUUAAGCAUAUCAAUAAGCGGAGGA